UGUGUGUGUAACAGCUUGGACUUAACAAGUCAGAAGAUCUGUAGCAUAAUUGAUUAUUGUGACACGGCUUCCAGAGGAGUCUUACAUCCAAAAGAACAGCCCACAUCACUCGAGUUCUUUAAUCCCCAAGAAUUACUUUACAAAAAGCCCCAAAAGUGCCUAAAAAUAUGCAAUUAAAUACUAUUUACAGUGGAACAUUGUAUCUUUUCUAUAUAUUAUAUAUAACUAUAUUUACCGGACAACGAGAUGCUUCUGACGGCAGAUUGAUAGUCGACUCACAAAGUCAACAAUAGUUAAGUUAUCAUUAACUGUUAUUCAUUGAACGACAGCUAUAGCACAGUGCUGAUGAAGUGACCUGUGGGGACGACGUCAUCAGAACGAUGAGCUCAGUGCAGAGCGGCCGGCGGGACACACGAGCAGCAAUUAACCCACCAUGUGUGAAGAAGAUGGGAUGGUUCUCGUGAUACUUGAAUAACACACACACACAGGCAGAAAGACGGAUUCCUUGCUUUAAGUUUGUUUUUGUUGCUUUUUUAGGUUUCUUUUGGGCUGCGUUGUCGUUCAUCAUGAGACUGUGGCCAACAUUUUUUAAUAAUGACAAAAACAUCAUUAUCAACAAUUGUAUUUAACAAAAGCAAAGAAUACUGCCUUUUUGUAAACAAUAAACAGGAAUCAUCUGAGUGGCAA